AUUGAACGCUGGCGGAAUGCUUUACACAUGCAAGUCGAACGGCAGCACGGGGGCAACCCUGGUGGCGAGUGGCGAACGGGUGAGUAAUACAUCGGAACGUGCCCAGUCGUGGGGGAUAACGUAGCGAAAGCUACGCUAAUACCGCAUACGAUCUACGGAUGAAAGCGGGGGAUCGCAAGACCUCGCGCGACUGGAGCGGCCGAUGGCAGAUUAGGUAGUUGGUGGGGUAAAGGCUCACCAAGCCUUCGAUCUGUAGCUGGUCUGAGAGGACGACCAGCCACACUGGGACUGAGACACGGCCCAGACUCCUACGGGAGGCAGCAGUGGGGAAUUUUGGACAAUGGGCGAAAGCCUGAUCCAGCCAUUCCGCGUGCAGGAUGAAGGCCCUCGGGUUGUAAACUGCUUUUGUACGGAACGAAACGGCCUUUUCUAAUACAGAGGGCUAAUGACGGUACCGUAAGAAUAAGCACCGGCUAACUACGUGCCAGCAGCCGCGG
rnacentral:rRNA from 1 species